UAGGAUUCCCUCAGUAGCUGCGAGCGAACAGGGAAGAGCCCAGCACCGAAUCCCGCGGCCGAUACCGGACGCCGGGAAAUGUGGUGUUAGGGAGGAUUCAUUAUCCCGAGGUCGCGCGGCGCGUCCAAGUCCUUCUUGAACGGGGCCACAGCCCAUAGAGGGUGCCAGGCCCGUAGUGACCGCUGCCGUCCGCGGGAGAAUCCCUCCUCAGAGUCGGGUUGCUUGAGAGUGCAGCCCUAAGUGGGUGGUAAACUCCAUCUAAGGCUAAAUAUGACCACGAGACCGAUAGCGAACAAGUACCGUGAGGGAAAGUUGAAAAGCACUUUGAAGAGAGAGUUCAAGAGUACGUGAAACCGUUCAGGGGUAAACCUGAGAAACCCGAAAGGUCGAAAGGAGAAAUUCAUUCGCGUUUCGACGGCCGGAGGUGGAUGGUCGGGUGACGUGCGGCGUCCGCGUCGCUCGCUCCUUCUGUUCGCCGAGCCGGUGUCGAACGCGUGCAUUUUUCUCCUAGUAGGACGUCGCGAUCCGUUGGGUGCCGGUCUAAGGCCCGCGGUGGAGCCCGUUCGGACGGUUCGCCGUUCCGAGCGGACCCGUGGUGUUUCCCGGCCGGCUUGCUCGACGGUAUACAGAUGGCGCGGGGCCGCGACUCAAGUUCGCGUCCGGCCCGCGGCAAGCACGUUCGGUGCGCCGGCGAUCGGACCUGGUGCCGAUCCUGACCCCGAGCGACUGUUGGUCGCGGUGUUCUCGGACAGUCUCCGUUGAAACGCCGAUCUGCGACGCUAUAGCUUUGGGUACUUUCAGGACCCGUCUUGAAACACGGACCAAGGAGUCUAGCAUGUGCGCGAGUCAUUGGGACAUGACUAAACCUAAAGGCGCAAUGAAAGUGAAGGUUCGCCUUGCGCGAACCGAGGGAAGACGGGCGGUUUACUUUCGAGUGGCCGCCCCGCACUCCCGGGGCGUCUCGUUCUCAUUGCGAGAAGAGGCGCACCAAGAGCGUACACGCUGGGACCCGAAAGAUGGUGAACUAUGCCUGGUCAGGACGAAGUCAGGGGAAACCCUGAUGGAGGUCCGUAGCGAUUCUGACGUGCAAAUCGAUCGUCGGAACUGGGUAUAGGGGCGAAAGACUAAUCGAACCAUCUAGUAGCUGGUUCCCUCCGAAGUUUCCCUCAGGAUAGCUGGCGCUCGUAGCGCACGAGUCUCAUCCGGUAAAGCGAAUGAUUAGAGGCAUUGGGGUCGAAACGACCUCAACCUAUUCUCAAACUUUAAAUGGGUGAGAUCUCCGGCUUGCUUGAACUUAUGAAGCCGCGAGACACGGAUCAGAGUGCCAAGUGGGCCAUUUUUG
rnacentral:rRNA from 1 species